rnacentral:rRNA from 1 species
GAUGAACGCUGGCGGCGUGCCUAAUACAUGCAAGUCGAGCGAACAGACGAGGAGCUUGCUCCUCUGACGUUGGCGGCGGACGGGUGAGUAACACGUGGAUAACCUACCUAUAAGACUGGGAUAACUUCGGGAAACCGGAGCUAAUACCGGAUAAUAUAUUGAACCGCAUGGUUCAAUAGUGAAAGACGGUUUUGCUGCCACUUAUAGAUGGAUCCGCGCCGCAUUAGCUAGUUGGUAAGGUAACGGCUUACCAAGGCAACGAUGCGUAGCCGACCUGAGAGGGUGAUCGGCCACACUGGAACUGAGACACGGUCCAGACUCCUACGGGAGGCAGCAGUAGGGAAUCUUCCGCAAUGGGCGAAAGCCUGACGGAGCAACGCCGCGUGAGUGAUGAAGGUCUUCGGAUCGUAAAACUCUGUUAUUAGGGAAGAACAAAUGUGUAAGUAACUACGCACGUCUUGACGGUACCUAAUCAGAAAGCCACGGCUAACUACGUG